UACAGAGGGUGCGAGCGUUUAAUCGGAAUUACUGGGCGUAAAGCGUGCGUAGACGGUUAUUUAAGUCGGGUGUGAAAGCCCCGGGCUCAACCUGGGAAUUGCAUUCGAGACUGAAUAGCUAGGGUACGGUAGAGGGAAGUGGAAUUUCCGGUGUAGCGGUGAAAUGCGCAGAUAUCAGGAGGAACACCGGUGGCGAAGGCGGUUCUCUGGGCAUGUCCUGACGCUGAUGCGCGACAGCGUGGGGAGCAAACAGG
rnacentral:rRNA from 1 species